UCUCUUCAUGCCAUUGCUGACGUUUCUCCUUCAUCCUUCCAGCGCUGGAGAGCUUGCUUGGCGACCAUGACCCCGAGGUCGGGAGAGUUGCCUGCAAGACGGAGAAGAUCGUGAAGAAGGCCUUUUCCCUCCACUCCCGGCACGGGUUGCGGGCUGCCGUUCGGCGCUUGUGGGCAGGCUGUAAGAAGAAGAGACACCCGCCAGAGUACGGUGAUCUCUCCACCUGACCGACUGGAACAACAGCCCCGUGCUCUCCCCUGGAAGAUCAGCAGCUGAAGGGAGACUGAAGAAACACCAUGCAGCGCAGUGGAUCCGGACCAGCCAGAAGACCUCCUCCAACCCCGUGGAUAGAAAGAGCUGUCCACAAGACGGCAGCAGGGAAGUGCAGUUCUGUCUGAGGAGUGAGGGGGAAGCAGGCUCCACUCCCCUGGCCCAAGGAAGCCCCGCCUCCGGGGUGCAGAAGCCCCUCCCCUUGCCUCUGCUGCAGGCAGUGGGAGGAGGCUACAGGACCACCCUGCCCCCAAGUGGCCCUUGGGAACCAUUCUUGGGCUCUCCUUGGGUCCGGGGAGGCUGUGUGGCCCCAGCAGGAGGGCAAGGUCACCGCCUCCCUCCAUUUCCACCAGCUGGCCGGGGAGCGCCCCCUCCUCCUUCCACCUUUCUCCCCUUCCCCAGCGGCCUGGCUUCCCCUGGCAGGGGAAGCACCAUCCAGGCAUCCGCCCCCUCCCCUGCCGAGGGUGUGCUCCUCCCCCCCUCCCCUCCCGCAGCCACACCUCCCUCCCCCCUCCGCUCCCUCCUCCCCCCUCGCAAACUGGGGCAGCAGCAGAGGAGCCCGGGAGACUCGGGGGGCCCCCUGCAGCCCCAGUUGCGCCCCCUGGUGCUGCCCGGUGGCAGGCCAGAGAACCCUCCUCUCCCUCCCGCUCCCUGCUGUGUAGCACGUGAUGAGGCGUCCAGCGGCAGGCCUCCCCUCCCAGGCCUCCCCAAGUCUGGGGCGCAUCCCCUCCCCUCCCCUCCCUGUUACACCAAAGGGGCUCCUCCUUCUCCACCCCAGAGGAGAGGGGGCAAGGGAGGCAUCAGCCACCAGGUCUGCCGAGGAGGCCGAGGGAGGGUGCUUGGGCCAGGCUGGACGAUGCCUCGACCUCCCGCUUCCUCACUCACCCCUGCUCCCUUCCAUCUGCUCUGGGCAAGCGAGGAGCCCCUCUUGCUCCAGCGGGCAGGGGGCAGAAGAUCCUCUUCGGAGCGGGGCGGGAGGUGUGGCCAUGACACCGUCCCUUGCUGCACAGUGGGGAGCUGAGGUCAAGCAGAAUUCUCUGGCUUGCCCCCCCCCGUCAACCCCCACCCCCCUGCCUGAUCCCCGCUUGCUGGGCUGCCGGAGCGGAAAGGGAGGAGGAGCAGGGCAACCCCACUGACGCUGCUCUGUGCUUCUUGCAGGCAUGUGCUGCUGCUGGGCGGCUGGAGGAGUCAGUCGAUCCGCCCCAGAAGAGGAGACCAAGUGAACGUGCCUGCAAGGAGUGGGGGGGUGGGGUGGGGGGCUGGCUGGGACUCCCCCCAAUUUUGUUUGCCCUCCCAUUCCCUUCGUGACCCUGGGCUUCCUUCCUUCCCUCCCUCCCUCCCCCUCCCUCCCAGGGGCAGAAUGGGCUUUGCUGGUCGCCCUGUUGGGGGCCGAGUAGGAAUUUUUGGCUUUCCGACAGAUUGGCCGAGAUGGAAAGCUUUUUUGCCUACUCCAUUCUGCCCUGUUUUGUUUCCUUUAGUUAGAAAGUUAAGUGACGACUUGUGACCUAAUUGAGUAUCUUAAUAAAGUUGCCGCUUUUGUUAGCA